AUUGAACGCUAGCGGGAUGCUUUACACAUGCAAGUCGAACGGCAGCGCGGACUUCGGUCUGGCGGCGAGUGGCGAACGGGUGAGUAAUGUAUCGGAACGUGCCCAGUAGCGGGGGAUAACUACUCGAAAGCGUAGCUAAUACCGCAUACGCCCUACGGGGGAAAGCAGGGGAUCGUAAGACCUUGCACUAUUGGAGCGGCCGAUAUCGGAUUAGCUAGUUGGUGAGGUAACGGCCCACCAAGGCGACGAUCCGUAGCUGGUUUGAGAGGACGACCAGCCACACUGGGACUGAGACACGGCCCAGACUCCUACGGGAGGCAGCAGUGGGGAAUUUUGGACAAUGGGGGCAACCCUGAUCCAGCCAUCCCGCGUGUGCGAUGAAGGCCUUCGGGUUGUAAAGCACUUUUGGCAGGAAAGAAACGUCGCGGGCUAAUACCCCGUGGAACUGACGGUACCUGCAGAAUAAGCACCGGCUAACUACGUG
rnacentral:rRNA from 1 species